UAUUGGGGAAAGGAAAUAUGAAUACUAAACCAAAUGACUGUCAAAGGAUGGAAAGGAGAUGAAGAAAGGCCUCAAGAAAGAGGAUAAGGCAGAAGGGCAAGACCAGAUGAAGAAAGGCAAUCAACAACUUGCCUUUAAAGGAAUGAUGAAAUUAUGACUACCGUAUUUACAUGACUUAAACAUGAGGUGCUACCUCAGUGUUUUGUAAAGCACGUUACACGCAUGCAAUAAUUAACAGAGAAGAAGUUGGCACACAGAUGAACAUUUUUCAAGAGCCAUGUAUUUAUUUUAUCGUGUGUAUGGUUUAUGUACCCAUUCACACACAUACGCAUACACAAAUACACCACAUCAAACCUGAAAUUUCAUGGAUUCUAUUGCUUAGGAUGAAGCUAGAAUGAAAAUGGUUUUAUUGAAGGAAAAAUAUUAAAUAAUACACAUAGUACUAGGCUAUGGCAAGAAGCAUGACAGUGAUGAAUGACUGAAGUUUAAGAAAUCUUGGUAAAGGCAAAUGAAAGAGUUUCUUGUGAGAGUGUGGGGAGAACCCUACUCUCCACUGAUCAAAAGUGUGAUUUUUAUUUACAUUGAUUCACUAUUUUCAAAAAGCUAGCUUUAUAUUUUUAGUCAGAUAUUUUCAUCACCUAUGGCGAAAAUUUCCUCGGGAGAAUGUUGCCUAACAAAUGUAUUGGAAAACAACUAAACUUUCUAGAGCUGUGUUUUCUUGUCUGAAGAGUUGAAACUUUAUAAACUAUGUUUUUUUUUUUUUUUUCCACAUUUCCUUACCACUCUAAUCUGUUCUGAUAUUAGGAUUUUUCCCCCAUUUCUCACAAACCUAACAAGUUCUGACUUUUUGGUGGACGACAAAUCCUACCAGUAGAGGGAGCCUUAUUCUGCUUGGAAAGUCCUCUAAGCUCAAGGAUCUUUGCGGAAAACAGGAUCACCCCUCCGUUUGUUUGCUGACCACCACCUCCUUUUACUCUGAGUUAGUCAUUUUACAGUGUCAGCACCAGCCUGUGGAUCUGUCUGACAGCGGAUGUAUUGUCACAGUGCAGUCUGAGAUCCAUCCUUCAGCUUUUCUAAGAAUCCAGUUAGCUACUGCACGAAACAUCUUGUUAAAAUCGCAAUUCUAAGGCCUCUUCUUGGCUUUAUUGUUCCUUCCUGUUCUUUAAAUUUGUAAAUGAUUUUUACCUUUAUGAGCAUAGAAGGCAUUAAACGUCGACUAUACCGGAACAAAAAUUUAUAAUUCCAGCAUGAAUGCAACAAUCAAAACGUUAAUCCAGGACGUGCACAGAUAGACUGGACCAGCGCUGGGUGACGGUGCUCAAGCUUUCUGCUGCAAUGGAAUGGAGUGCACUGACACUCUGCACAAAUACCUGCACAGGGCAGCGUUAUAGAUAACCACUCACUGCUCCCUGAGGGGUUUGAGAUCAUUCGAUGUCUAAGAACUACUACUGGCUUGUAAAUGUCAAGAGAAAUUAUGAACAUUUGUAGAAAAGUAACUGUUUGACUAAUUUCCUGUUCCAUGGAGCAAACACACUGCCCCAUGUAUUUAGAAUCUGGUGCUGACAGCCAGGCCAUGGCAAGCUUCAAGGUUAUAGGAUCAUAAAUGGGAUUAGAUAAGCCAGACAGUGCGGCUCAGACUCCAGCACUUUAAAAAUAUUAUUAAAACCCCAGGAAAGGCAAACAAUUUUGAAGGGAAAGUAAGAUGUAACAGACUCCCACCAAGAGAGAAAAGAAUCUUGGAUAUGAUACUGGAACUUGGUAACCCCUUCCCCCACCCAUCCCCCGCUGCCCCCAGAGCACUUCCAGAGUGCAUGUUAGUUAGAAUCAAUCAACAUUUUAGGACAUAAGACAUAAUGCAACAAGUCGUGCUUUGUAGCUCAGACAGAUUUUUCUAUUUGAUUUGAUCCAUGGUGAAAAAAAAAAAAAAUUUAAGGAAAGAACAAAGAAAACUUAUUGAAAAGACCAAAAUUGACAGUAAGAAGUUGCAGUUCCAGAGAGCAGAAUGCAGUGCCCCACCUGGAAGCCUUUGUGUUUUAAAUUAUCUGUUUCUUUUUAAUUGACCAGAUUAAUUAUUUCCACCUUGCUACUUGGCAGGUAGGGUCACUAUUCCUUUUUACAGCAUUAAUGAACUCAUUCACUUUUUUUCCAUGUAAUUAAGACUGUGAGUUGCAGAUCACAUUCUUAAAUCGGCUUAGUGUACAACCAAUUCAGUCUUUAUUAAACAAAAUAUGUGACAUCAGGUAUUUCUCACUGAAAAAGAGUGUUGAGUUUCUACUGAGUUUUCCUCCAGCUGAGAGAGGAGAGUGGUGACUUUGUUCUUUUUAUUUUUUGGAGAAGAAACACAGACCUGUAAAGGCUGUAGCCUCCAGGGUGGUGUUUCAUACUUAAUAGACUCAAAGUCUGGAGAUUUAAAGGGCAGCUGAUGGAUUCAUGUUCAGGUAUUUCUAUUGCCACCAAAAUUCUGACCAGGUCCUUUCAUGAGCUAUUUGAAAAGAAAUAACUUUGGGUAUGCUGUUAAGUUAGUUAUGUGAAAUAUAUUGCCCUCUUCUGUUAGCUUUAUUUCUAGGCCAUUUAGGAAGCCCUAGGAAUAUUAAGAGUUUCUCAGUGCAUUGACUACAGUAGCCGAACACAGUACAGAAGUCUGUUUGCGGUGUCUACAGUCCUCAAGAGAGCAAACUUUAAGGCAACGCAAACUAUCUCCCAAAGCAUUUGGUUUCAUUCAACUGGAUCUCAAGUUGAUUCCCAGAGGAACUCAAUUUAGAAGUAAAGGGUAAGGUGCUUUAAUCUUUCCAGGACCUGAAUGAGAUUUCUUCCAUUAAAUUGAGUCUGGUGGAGCACCUGAUCAAGAGAGAAACUGAUGGGCAGACAUCAAGAAACUGAUGAACAGACAUCUUAAUGCUGAUCCUCUUUGCCACUAGCAAAAGACAAGCAAAAUACAUUUAAAAUAU